rnacentral:lncRNA from 1 species
AAGAAUUUUGGAAAAAUUUAGAGUAUUCUUGUAUUUCACUCUUCAUCUUUACAAUUAGUCUACAUGACUAUUUAUACACAAAGAAUUAUAUCUAAACAGGAAGCAAAUAAUCAAAUAAUAAUUAUAGAGAUAAUUAAGGACCCUAAUCAAAUCAAAUCAUAUCCCUAAAAUCAGUUAGGAUCAACAAAUAAGUCCACACUCCCCCUCAAGUUGGUGCAAAAAUGUCGCACAUUCCCACCUUGCAAAUCAGAUUAUGGUAGAUGUUAUUGUUGAGCCCUUUAGUAAACACAUUCACAAGUUGCCCAGUAGAAAUCACAUUAACUAGGCUCAAGACACCGUCUGUUAAUUUUUCUUUAAUGAAGCGCCGAUCAAUUUCAAUGUGCUUCGUCCGGUCAUGUUGGACUGAAUUUUGUGCUAUAAUUAUAGCAGCUUUAUUGUCACAAUACAAAGUUAUCUUGUCUCUCUCGAGCAACCUCAACUCCUCCAAUAACUUCUGUAACCAUAAGAGUUCACACACAUCUUGGGUCAUUACUCUGUAUUCUGCUUCAACACUUGACCGAGCAACAACACUUUAUUUUUUGCUCCUCUAGGUGACAAAGUUUCCUCCCACAACUGUGCAGUCUCUCCUGUUAUCGAGAGAUCCUGCCCAAUCUGCAUCUGUAAAAGCUUAAACUCGGAAGUGACCAUAUUUGGAGUAAAGAAGCUAUUUUCCUGGCGCAGACUUUAGAUGCCUUAAGAUGCAAAGUACAGCCUGCAUAUGAGUCUCGCGAGGGUCAUGCAUGAAUUGGUUGACUAAGCUAACAGUAUAGGCUAUAUCCGGUUGAGUGUGAGAGAUAAAUCAAUCUUCCUACCAAUAUCUGGUAUCUUCCAACAUCCACGAACUCACUAGUUCCUGCUUCCAGCUUGUGAUUACUUUCAAUGGGAGAUUCGGCCGAUUUACACCUCAUCAUACUAGUUUCUUCCAAAAGAUUCAGAAUGUCCUUUCUUUGAGAGAUGAAAAUUCCUUUUUCUGAUCUAGCCACCUUCAUAACUAACAAAAUAUUGUAGUUUUCCUAGAUCUUUGAUUUCAAAUUCCUGAGCCAACAACCUCUUUAGUUGAGCCAUUUCCUCUUUGUCAUCGCCUGUCAUCACUAUAUGAUCAACAAACACAAUAAGAAGGGUGAUCUUACUCUUGUGAUGUUUGAUAAUCAGAGUGUGAUCAGCAUUGCUUUUGUUGAAUCCCACAGCGAUUGUGGAAAAGGGCAAUGUGCCCCUUAUAUGGGCCAUAAGCACUCCUCCCCCUUGAGCUAGCUUUUGAGUGAGUUAAGCUUGACCCAAAUUUAAUAUGGUAUCACAGCCUCCCCAUCCGAUGUUGGGUCUCACAUAAAUAUGUCUUCUCAUCAGCGAACCCAGGAGAAAUUUCCAUGAACACUUCUUCCUCUAAAUCUCCAUGGAGGAAAGCAUUCUUCACAUCAAACUGUUGCAAGUCCCAGUCCAAGUUGGCUGCACAGGAUAACAGAACUCUGAUUAAGUUCAUUUUUGCAACUGGGGCAAAUGUCUCUUAAUAAUCCACUCCAUAGGUUUGGGUGAAUCCUUUAGCAACCAAUCUGGCUUUAUACUGUUCAAUUGUGCCAUCAGCUUUGUGUUUCACUGUGAACACCCAUUUACAGCCAACGAGUUUCUUCCCAGGUGAGAGAGUGUCAAGCUCCCAAGUUUCAUUUUUAGCCAAUGCUUUCAUCUCUUCAAUCAUUGCUUCCUUCCAUUUAAGAUCUCCAAGAGCUAGAUAAGGCAAAGGCUCUAUACUCUAUAGGAAGGAGACAUGGAUUCAUAAGAAACAAAGUUAGAAAUAGGGUGUUUAGUAUAAGAUCUGACCGCUUUUCUUUGUGCAAUAGGUUUAUCUAAGUCAUUGGAGCAUUCAAGAGUUGUGGAUAACUCACGAGAAGAAGAUUCUUGAGUGGGUAACUCACCAGAAGAAGAUUUUAGACUCUAAAUAGACUGCAUAAUGGCUUCUUCUGCCUUGUCUCUCCUCGAAUACCUUCUCAAAUCUGGCUUGUCCAAACGAUCAAUUCUCUCUCCCUGAUUGGACAUCUCCUCUGUCUACUAGAACUCAAACUCUCUAGUUGAACCAUAUCAUCCGGAAUCACAGAAUUCGAGAUACCUCUUCUUGCUCAUUAUUCUCCCCCUGAAGAGGUGAGUGGGUAGUACUAAAGUAGGGUUCAGUUUCUCGAAAUGUAACAUCCAUACUGACUAAGUAUUUCUUAGAGGGAGGGUGAUAACACUUGUAUCCCUUCUGUGUCGGAGAAUACCCAACAAACACACAUUUAAGGGCCUUGGGAUCCAAUUUCCCUGUCAUCCUAGUAUGGACAAAGUAAACUCACCCAAAUACUUUUGGUGGAACAACGUAUGAAUUCUUCCCUUGUAGAACCGCCAAAGGGCUCAUAAAGUUAAGGGUCUUGAGAGGCAUUCUAUUGAUAAGAUAAGCAGAUACAAGAAUUGCACCUCCCUAAUAUGCUUUGGGUAGAUUCAUGGUGAACAUAAGAGAUCGAGCUACCUCCAAUAGAUGCCUAUUUUUCCUCUCAGCAACGCCAUUUUGAGCAUUAGUAUAAGGACAACUAGUCUGCUGUACUAUCCCAUUAUUCUCCAAAUAAGCAGAAAAGCUACUAUCCAUGUAUUAUCUUCCAUUGUCAGUUCUCAAAAUUUUCACCUUAGCAUCAAAUUGAGUAUAAACCAUCUUAUGAAAGGAUUGAAAAUAAGAAAAUACAUCACUUUUAGCUUUAAUUAAAUAGACCCGAGUCAUUCGAGUGCAACAAUCAAUAAAGGUGACAAACCAUCUGAAACUUUGAUGAAAAGAAGAAAAAGAGAGUAGAAGAUUUGAGAGAAAAUAUUUAAUUAUUCCCAUCAAGCUAAUUGGGGUAUAUAUAUUACUUACAAGAGUACAUACUAGGUAAGAAAAUAAAUUAAUUCCCUAAUUAUAGCAUAAUCAUAUCCCAAUCAUAUCACACAAUCAUAUCCCUAAUUAUCACUACAAAUCAAGGCUAUUUACAGAAAUAAUCUCAAUAUACAGAAAUAAUCUCAACACUCCCCCUCAAGCUGGAGCUGGAGCGUACAUAUCAUAUGCUCCAAGCUUGUUACAAAUAUACUCUAUUUGUGAUCCUCGAAGUGAUUUUGUGAACACAUCAGCUAGCUGAUCAUUUGAGUUGACAAAGCUAGUAGAAAUGCAUCCGGACUCAAUUUUUUGCCUAAUAAAAUGGCAAUCCACCUCUAUAUGCUUCGUCCUCUCAUGAAAAACUGGAUUUGAUGCAAUAUGGAGGGCAGCUUGAUUAUCUCAUAUCAACUUCAUUUGACCAGUAUCGCUAUAUUUCAAUUCCUUAAAGAGUUGCUUCAACCAAAUGAAUUCACAUGUUGCUAAAGCCAAAGCUCAAUAUUCUGCUUCUGCACUUGAUCUUGCUAGCACGCUCUGUUUUUUACUUUUCCAGGAUAUAAGAUUCCCUCCAAUCAUAAUACAAUAUCCUGAAGUAGAUCGUCUAUCUGAAGAAGAACCUACCAAGUCUGCAUCAGAAUAGCCAACAAUUUGUGAGUGACCCUUGUCCUCAUAGAGUAGUCCUUGUCCUGAAGCUCCUUUGACAUAUCUAAGAAUGCGAAUGACUGCAUCCCAGUGACUACUGUAUGGAUUUUGAAGAAAUUGACUAACUACACUUACAGCAAAAGAAAUAUAUGGUCGUGUGAUAGUGAGAUAAUUGAGCUUGCCAACCAAUCUUCUAUAUCUAGCAGGAUCUUUAAGUGGUUCCCCCUGUUCAGGAACCAAUUUGACAUUUGGAUCCAUGGGAGUAUCCACAUGUCUACAGUCUAACAUGCUUGUUUCUUCCAAUAUGUCCAAAGCAUAUUUUCGUUGAGAAAUUGCAAUACCUGUUUUAGACUGUGCCACUUCAAUCCCUGAGAAAUACUUCAGUUUUCCAAGGUCUUUAGUUUGGAAAUGACUGAAUAAAUGUUGCUUAAACUGAGAGAUUCCAUCAUGGUCAUUUCCUGUAAUGACAAUAUCAUCAACAUAGACCAUCAAGUAGAUGCAUCUAUUGCCAUUAUGUCGAAAAAACACGAAAUGAUCAAAAUCACUUCGAGACAUUCCAAACGGUUGAACUACAUUGCUGAAUCGUCUGAACCAUGCUCUUGGAGACUGUUUUAGACCAUACAAUGAGCGUCGAAGAAGGCAUACUAAGCCUGACUCCCCUUGAGCAACAAACCCCGGAGAUUGCUCCAUAUAGACUUCUUCAGCGAGUUCUCCAUGAAGAAAGGCAUUUUUAAUGUCCAGUUGAUGAAGGACCCAGUGAUUAAUUGCAGCCUGUGAGAUAAGGAGGCGAACAGAAGCUAUUUUGGCUACGGGAGAGAAAGUAUCACCGUAAUCAAACCCAUAAAUCUGUGUGUAACCUUUAACUACAAGGCGAGCUUUAAGGCGAUCAAUUUUGCCGUCAAGUCCCACCUUAACUAUGUAAACCCAUCGACAACCAACAAUAGACUUACCAGGUGGUAAAAAGACCAGUUCCUAAGUUCCAUUAUUAUGAAGUGCAGUCAUCUCCUCAACCAUUGCAUUACACCAACCAGGAUGAUCCAAUGCUUCUCUAACUGUCUUGGGUAUAGAAACAGCAGACAUGGUGGAAAUAAAAGUAUAAUAGGAAAGAGACAAAUGAUGAUAACUCACAAAAUUAUAACUGGGAUGAGGAUUGCGAGAAGAGCAAAUACCUUUUCGGAGAGCAAGAGGAGGAGUAGUUGUUGCUACUGAAGGUAUGACCGAAGUAGGUGAUGAUGGAACUGGAGGUAAGACACUAGAAGUACCUACAUCAGGGAGAGAAGUAUCAUUGUUAGUAGCAAAUGGGUGGGGCUGACGAGUGUAGACCUGAAGGGGUGGGUGGACUGACAUGAGGUGUAGGUACAGGCAAAGCGCUAGGAACAAAGGUUUUGUGCGUUGGACUAGAAGAAAAGUAAAGGGAAGUUUUAAAAAAGGUAACAUCUGCAGAGACAAAAUAUCUGUUAGUAGUGGGAUCAUAGCAUUUGUAACCUUUUUAAAGCCGAGAAUAGCCAAGAAAGAUGCAUUUAACUGAUUUGGGCUGGAGUUUGUCUUUACCAGGGGUAUGAUCAUGAACAAAACAUAUAAAUCCAAAAACUCGCAGUGACAACUAGUUGGAGGUCUGGUUAGGAAAGAGAACCGAAUGAGGACUCUGAUACUGCAAAACAGAGGAAGGCAUACGGUUUAUCAAGUAGCAAGCAGUAAGGACCGUCUCGCCCCAUAAACGUAGCAAAACAUUAUGAUGUAUGAGUAAGGUGUGGGCAGUUUCAAUGAAAUGCCAAUUUUUACGCUCGGCAACACCAUUUUGUUGAGGUGUAUGGGCACAAGAAGUCUGGUGAGUAAUACCCUGAGUAGACAAGAAAUGAGAAAAAGAUGAGGAAAGAUAUUCUCGUGCAUUAUCACUAUGCAAAACCUUAAUGCGGACACCAAAUUGAUUAUGUAUCUCAGCACAAAAUUCUUGAAAAAUGGAGAAUAACUAAGAGCGAUUCUUCAUUAAAAACAACUAAGUGCAACGAGAAUAAUCAUCAAUAAAAAUAACAAAAUACUGAAAUCCCAAAGUUGUACUGACACAACUUGGACCCCAAAUAUCUAAAUGAACAAUAUCAAACAUUGAAGUGGCCUUGUUAUUGACUCGUUUGGGAAAUAAAGCCCGAGUUUGUUUCUCAAGUUGACAUGACUCACAUGAUAAAGAAGACAGAAGAAAGACUCGAGACGAUUUUCUGCAAUUUGAGAAUAUUAGGAUGUCCCAAACGGUUAUGAAUAAGCUCAGCGGACGUGGUAGAAACAAAAGCAACUGAAGAGGUGGAAAGGUGGUACAAUCCUUGUGACUCAGAUCCUGUUCCAAUCAUUCUCCCAGUACUUCGGUCCUGCACAACAACAGAAUCAGCAGUAAAAGUUACUGAACAAUUAAGAUUUUUGGUCAAUUUGCUAAUAGAGAUUAAAUUAUAUGAACAUUCAGGAGUGAACAAGACAGUAGUUAAGGAAAUAGAAGGAAGAAGUUGUACAUCUCCUAUUCUUUUAACUUGAGUUUGUGAACUAUUAGCUAAGGUGACUUUAGAUGGUGUAGAAGGUGAAACAAGAGUAGAGAAAAGAUUGUGAUUACCAGAGAUGUGAUCAGAAGCACCAGAGUCUAGGAUCCAUGGACCAACAGGUGAAGGCUUAGUUAGACAAGCAAAGGAAUUACUAGAGUGAGCAAUGCUGGUAGAUGGAGGGUGUUGCUCAGCUGCUUGGAACUGCAAGUAUUCUUUAUAGUCCUCUCCAAUUAAAGUAAUUGAAUCUAAGUCCUGAGAUUUAUUGGUAGGUUGUGGAAGCAGACCUUCUUCAUUAGAUUGGGCAAGAUAGGCUGUCAGCUUGCCAGUAUUAUCAAAAUUGAUUGGACCGUGGUGGUAGGUCAUGUAGUGCCCAACAUGCAUCCUGUGUGUGGUACAGCCAAAACUGAGGAUUCCAUAUCUGUAGCAUCACCCUUACUAAGGGAAAUACGUAAGAGCCUAGCUGACACAUUUUCUAAAGUUGGAAUAACUGAACCAGUCAAAAUUUGACCUUUCAUAGAGCAAAGGUCAUAUCACAAUCCAAUUAAUGCCAAAACCAUAAAAAAUUUAUCAUGUUGUCCUUGCGCAUCAACAUCAUUAGUAAGGGGCAUAAGAGAAUUAAUUUCAUCUUUCAGAGUUUCUACUUGACCCAAGUAACUAGCCAUAUUCUGAUGAUUUUAUUAUAAGUGAACCAUAUCAGACACAACCUUAUAGAUGCGUUGUAUAUCAUUAGUAUACAAUAUUUUGGCUUUAGUCCAAACCUUACAAAAAGUUUUGCAAAAUUGAAACAAAGCAAGCAAUUUUGGAUCUAACGAAUGCCAUAAAAGACUACAUAGUUGAGCAUCAACCUAGCAUCAAUCUUUUACUCAUAUCAGUGGCAUUUUUUGUUAAAUGAUCAUUAUACCCCUGUCCUACAAACCAUAAUUCUACGGAUGUAGCCCAAGACACAUAAUUAUUACUACCUUGCAACUUAACCGUAGCAAUUGAAAAGACAAGUUUAAGAGACUCAGAACCUGUAUCGAGGGUGUUUUGCUUCUUAGACAUGUCGAGAGAGAUUAUGAAACAACAAGGAACCAAGUAGGGACCCGAAUCUGCAAAAAGGAGCCGAAUCUGCCAAAAAGAACGCCUGUGAACAGUAAAUCUGAAAACCGGACCUACUGGGCUGGGGUCGCCAGUGUGAAACGGUCGCCGAAAAGUGUGCACGUGCCGGUGCGUGGCCAGAAGCAAGCUGUGCAGGGUGGCGCGUGGAGGCGCGUCCGGAUGCGGUGCUUCGCCGGAAAAUAAAUCGGAGGCCGGCGUCGAGAAUGGGCUGGGUGGUGAGACUAACUGAUUUUCAAAAAGUCAGCAAAGUAAGGUGGCAAAUCUGCCACUCAAAGGUGAACCAAAUUUCUUGGCUCUGAUACCAUGAAACUUUGAUGAAAAGAAGAAAAAGAGUAAAAGAUUUGAGAGAAAAUACUUUAUUAUUCUCAUCAAGCCAAUUGGGGUAUAUAUACUACUUACAAGAGUACAUACUAGGUAAGAAAAUAAAUUAAUUCCCUAAUUAUAGCCUUAAUCAUAUCCCAAUCAUAUCACACAAUCAUAUCCCUAAUUAUCACUACAAAUCUAGCCUAUUUACAGAAAUAAUCUCAAUAUACAGAAAUAAUCUCAACACCAUCGAUUACCAGACAAGGAGACAGUUUGAGUAGGCCCCCAAACAUCAAAAUGAAUAGUCACAAAAGGAAUUUGACUUUUAUAAUGACUCAAAGGAUAGAAUGUUCUAGUGUGUUUAGCAUACUCACAAGCAUCACAAAACAGAGAAUCAAAUUGAGUUCUAGCAAAUAAAUUAGGAUAAAGUUUUUCUAAGACAAAAAAAUAUGGAUGCCCUAACCAACUGUGCUACUGUAUUAUUUCCUUAUUAACAUCCUUAUUUUCUCCAAAACAGGCUUGAGAUAUCGAAGAACCUGGAUCACCCUCCAACAUAUAUAAGCCAUCAUACAGCCUACCAUUGUCAAUCCUCUUUCCUGUGCCAAGAUCCUGAAUAACACAAUGUUCAGGAAAGAAUUCAAUUUUACAUUUAAGGGCAUUGGUGAUAGCACUGACAGAUAAAAUGUUGACAGGAAAGUGGGAAACAUGAAGGACAAAUGAUAAUUUAAUGUUGGAUGUGCAAAUAGCACAACCUGUUCCGAAUAUGGGAGUAAAAGAGCAUCAGCAAUUCUGACACUAUUUUUGGUUAGAGAAGGAAAAUAAUUGAGAAAGCUUUUAGAAGAGCCUAUCAUGUGUUUAUUCGCACCAGACAUGGAACAUUAUUAAGAGAGGAAACUUUACCUGACUUUACAAAGUUAGAUGUGGCACCAGAGGAUGAGUAAUCAGAGUUAGGAAUCGAGAUCCUUUUACCUUCUGCCAUGGUAAAGAUUUAUGAACCGCGAAAUUAUAGGAGGUACCCAAGGUUGUACACACGAGAGCCCAAUCGAUUCACCAAAAUACUGGGUAGAAGCACGAGAAGGCCGGAAAAAUGGUCGGAAUCAUCGCCGGAGUGAUCGAAGCGGCGAAGCAGCGUCAGGCGAUUGGUCACGCGCCGGGAAGCGAUGAGACGCGCGAGGCACGUGAGUCUCACGCGCAGGCUUUUCCGACGUCGGAGCUAGGCGAUCAGCCGGCGACAGUCCGGCAAUUCUCCUGGUGUCGGCAGUGAGAGGAGGAAAGGCUCCUAAAUGGGUUAGUACCAAAAAGGGUAGAUCUAGGGUUUUGAAACCCUAAAGAGGAAAAAUUGAAUUUGAACCCUAAAAUCAAGAAAAGGCUAUGAUACCAUGAAGAAUUUUGGAAAAAUUUAGGGUUUUUUUGUAUUUCACUCUUAAUCUUUAUAAUUGGUUUACAUGACUACUUAUACACAAAGAAUUAUAUUUAAACAGGAAGCAAAUAAUCAAAUAAUCAAAUAAGUCAACAUAUUAAUUUACAUGACUCAUUAGCUAUUACCCAAAGGAUAUGAAAACAGAUCCUUAAUAGGCUCUGGAUAGCACAUAAAACGAGUAAAAGCAUUAUCUACGUUAGCCUCCGUUUGUUUGCAAAAAAUAACUUGUAUUUGAAAAAUGUUUUCCAUGAAUAAUAUUUUUCAAUAAGAUAACUUAUUUUCCAUUCUUAAAUUCUAAUUUAAAAUAUAAAAUAUAUUUAACAAAUUUAUAUAUAAAAGUUCUAAUAAGAUAAUCAAAGUGUGAAAAAUGACUUUCUCUUUUAAAAAGAUAAAAUUAUAGUUAGCUUCACAUAGAUUAAGAAAAAUGUAGUUAAUAUAGUUGAAGCAAUAAACUUUAUAUUGUUUUCCUAAAAUGCCCCCCACUUAUAAUUUCCAUUAUGGAAUCACGCUUGAAACUAAUAAAUUUUACUUGUUCAAGGUAUAUUAAAUACAGGUAUAUUAGGAAGAUAAUAAAUAAAUUAUCAUCUAAAAAAGGAAAGUAACCUAUGAUUUAGGAAAAACGAAAAAGGAAAGCAAGCCUAUUUUGUGGGUGUGAAGGGGUAUAUCAAAUCAUAUUUAUAAAGCAAUAAUUAGGUUUUACCAAACAUUACCAUCAUGUAUCAUCAAAAUACCAAUAUUUAUAAUUGCUAUCCCUAACAUAACAUCCUAAAGUAUGGAGCAUAAAAUAUUGAAAUUAUGAAGCAAGAUAAUGUUUUGACUAGUUAGUAGUUAUUCAACUUAACAUUUUUAAAUGUAUUUUUGUCCUCGUGGACCUAGUCAUUGCUCAUUGGAUGCAGGGUAUCAAAUAACGGCCGUUACGUAACGUAACGGCCGUUAUGUAACGGUAUCAGGGGGGGCCGUUACCCGUUAGGCCGUUACCCAACGGCCCCCCCUGAAUUGCGGCCGUAACGNNNNNNNNNNNNNNNNNNNNNNNNNNNNNNNNNNNNNNNNNNNNNNNNNNNNNNNNNNNNNNNNNNNNNNNNNNNNNNNNNNNNNNNNNNNNNNNNNNNNNNNNNNNNNNNNNNNNNNNNNNNNNNNNNNNNNNNNNNNNNNNNNNNNNNNNNNNNNNNNNNNNNNNNNNNNNNNNNNNNNNNNNNNNNNNNNNNNNNNNNNNNNNNNNNNNNNNNNNNNNNNNNNNNNNNNNNNNNNNNNNNNNNNNNNNNNNNNNNNNNNNNNNNNNNNNNNNNNNNNNNNNNNNNNNNNNNNNNNNNNNNNNNNNNNNNNNNNNNNNNNNNNNNNNNNNNNNNNNNNNNNNNNNNNNNNNNNNNNNNNNNNNNNNNNNNNNNNNNNNNNNNNNNNNNNNNNNNNNNNNNNNNNNNNNNNNNNNNNNNNNNNNNNNNNNNNNNNNNNNNNNNNNNNNNNNNNNNNNNNNNNNNNNNNNNNNNNNNNNNNNNNNNNNNNNNNNNNNNNNNNNNNNNNNNNNNNNNNNNNNNNNNNNNNNNNNNNNNNNNNNNNNNNNNNNNNNNNNNNNNNNNNNNNNNNNNNNNNNNNNNNNNNNNNNNNNNNNNNNNNNNNNNNNNNNNNNNNNNNNNNNNNNNNNNNNNNNNNNNNNNNNNNNNNNNNNNNNNNNNNNNNNNNNNNNNNNNNNNNNNNNNNNNNNNNNNNNNNNNNNNNNNNNNNNNNNNNNNNNNNNNNNNNNNNNNNNNNNNNNNNNNNNNNNNNNNNNNNNNNNNNNNNNNNNNNNNNNNNNNNNNNNNNNNNNNNNNNNNNNNNNNNNNNNNNNNNNNNNNNNNNNNNNNNNNNNNNNNNNNNNNNNNNNNNNNNNNNNNNNNNNNNNNNNNNNNNNNNNNNNNNNNNNNNNNNNNNNNNNNNNNNNNNNNNNNNNNNNNNNNNNNNNNNNNNNNNNNNNNNNNNNNNNNNNNNNNNNNNNNNNNNNNNNNNNNNNNNNNNNNNNNNNNNNNNNNNNNNNNNNNNNNNNNNNNNNNNNNNNNNNNNNNNNNNNNNNNNNNNNNNNNNNNNNNNNNNNNNNNNNNNNNNNNNNNNNNNNNNNNNNNNNNNNNNNNNNNNNNNNNNNNNNNNNNNNNNNNNNNNNNNNNNNNNNNNNNNNNNNNNNNNNNNNNNNNNNNNNNNNNNNNNNNNNNNNNNNNNNNNNNNNNNNNNNNNNNNNNNNNNNNNNNNNNNNNNNNNNNNNNNNNNNNNNNNNNNNNNNNNNNNNNNNNNNNNNNNNNNNNNNNNNNNNNNNNNNNNNNNNNNNNNNNNNNNNNNNNNNNNNNNNNNNNNNNNNNNNNNNNNNNNNNNNNNNNNNNNNNNNNNNNNNNCAAGUGAAGAUAUUGGGUGGAAGUUUGCAACACCUACAGGGAAAAAAGGAGAACUGAUUUGUAAUUUCUGUGGGAGAAAAGUCACAGGUGGAAUAACGAGAUUGAAAUUGCACUUGGCUAAUAUACCUGGUCAAAUUGCAGGUUGUCAGAAAGUUUCUUCCCAAGUUAAGAAGGAUAUGGCCGCUUUCCUGAAAGAAUACCGAUUAGCUAAAAAGGAUAAAGAAAAAAGAGAAAGAGAAUUAGAAGAAGAAAUUAUGAAUAUAAAUAGAAUCGAAGAUGAUGAAGAGGAGGAGGAGGAGGAGGACAUCGAAAUGGAAAUGGCGAAACGGGCGAGCAUGAGACAGUUGGAAGAAGAUGAAUUUAGAAGGAGAACUGGAUCUAGAUUUGAUGUUGGUGGUAGUAGCAGACAAGUGUUGGGUCGUUCUGCUACUACACGUGAGAGAGGUAGAGAAGCACAAAGAUAUGCAGAAGUAUCUACACCGGCAUCUCGGUUGGCUGCCACAGAAGUUGAGAUAGAGAGAAGCAGAGCUCAACAAAAGCAGCCAAAAUUAAAAAGUAAAUGGUUGAAGGCACAGAAGGAGAAAAUGUUGAAAGCAUUUGGAAAUUUUGUUAUACAUAAUAGACUUCCCUUCAGUAUUGUUGAGUCACCGUGGACAAAACCACUUUUAAGAACAGCAGCAGAAAUCGGGCCUAAUGUAUCUCCACCUAGUGCUUAUGAAAUUGCAGAAGUUUAUUUGAAAAAUGAGUACAAUGAGAUGAAAAAAUAUAUAGUCUCAUUUGAUGGAAUAUGGAAGGAGAGGGGAGUUACCAUAAUGUGUGAUGGUUGGAGUGGGCCAACACGUAUGAGUAUAGUAAAUUUCUUUGUCUACUCAAACAGAGGCACAGUGUUCCACAAGUCUGUUGAUGCAUCCAAUGUGGAGCAUAAAGAUGGAGAAUACUAUUUUAAAAUUAUGAAAGAAGUAGUGGAAGAAAUUGGCCCUCAAAAAGUUGUCCAAGUGGUAACGGAUAACGAAGCUGCCAUUAAAUUAGGAGGGAAGAAACUAAUGGAGAAAUUCCCUAAUCUAUAUUGGACUGCUUGUAGUGCUCAUUGUAUUGAUUUGAUUUUGGAAGAUAUUGGAAAGAAGAAGAGUGUGAAAAAAAUAAUUGACCAAGCCAAGGUAAUUACUCAAUUUAUUUAUAAUCAUAAUUGGGUAGUCAAUUAUAUGAAGAAAUUCACGGACAAUAGAGAUAUUAUUCGACCUGGCAUCACUAGAUUUGCCACAAACUUCAUUGCUUUAGAGUCUAUUGUCCGUUAUAGGGUGGGGCUAAGGAAUAUGUUUGAAUCGGAGCAAUGGAUAAUGAGUAAAUAUGGGCAAGCAACAAGUGGUCCAGCGCAUGAAGCUAAGAAAAUUGUGCUUGGCUUAGGCAACGAAGGAAGAAACUUUUGGGAGAGGGCACAACAAAUAAUGAAAGUUCAAGAACCUCUCCUGAAGGUUUUAAGAUUAGUUGAUGGAGAUGACAAGCCAACAAUGGGAUUUAUAUAUGAGGCAAUGGAGCGAGCAAAAUUGGCUAUUCAAAAAAAGUGUAGAAGCUAUUUGGAAUAUUGGAGAAUAAUUGAUCAUAGAUGGAAUUUUCAAUUGCAUCAUGACUUACAUGCCGCUGGUAAGAACAUUAUAUUAUAAUUUGAUAGUUUAGAAAGUUAAAUUGUUAAAUUAAAAGAUAACUUAUUAUCUAUCUUCAUAUUUUAUUUUGCAGGAUAUUUUCUAAAUCCUCAAUAUCAAUAUGGCCCACAUGAUAUUGGAAAUGAUAAUGAGAUCAUGUUGGGUCUCAAAAAUGUGAUUCAACGUCUAGAGGGGGAUUUAGUAAAUCAAGGAAAAGCAUUAAAUCAAGUAAGUAACAACUAACAAGCUAAUUCUCAAGUGUUACUACUAUGUUAGUGUAGUUGAAGGCUUGAAGCUUGAACUGUUGCUUUUGAACUUGAAGUUAACUUACUGGAAUUUAGAACAUGUAGGCCCUACUUUUUCGGGACAAAAUAGAGAGUUUUGGAACAGCUUUGGCGCAAAAGGCAAUUAAGUUCACUAAUCCAGGUACUAAGUUUAUAAAAUAAGUAUAAAUUAUUUUUGUUCGUUCCUUUUUAUAUAGCUAAGUUCAUAAAAAUAAUAAAAAUUUUAAAAUAUUUUGCAGCUGAGUGGUGGAUUAAUUAUGGAGAAAGUGCUCCUGAGUUGAGAAAAAUUGCUAUUAAAGUACUGAGCCAAACAACUUCAGCUUCAAACUGCGAGAGAAAUUGGAGUACAUUUUCUCUCAUUCACACAAAGACAAGAAACAGAUUGAAGUAUCAAAAAUUACAUGCACUUGUCUUUGUGCACUACAACAUGAGGCUGAAAAUCAGAAAUGUGACAAGAAAGAGCCAACAGGAGUUAGACAGGAGCUACGAUCCAAUUAAUUUGGAUUAUAUUUUUGAAGAAGAUGAUCCGUUAAACUCUUGGUUGGAGGAAAGGGAAUCUCCAUUGCUUGAUGGGCAACCAAAUCCAUGGUUAGAUGAUGAAGAGGCGGGUAAUGCUCCAUCACAGUCUGAAUCUGCCACUCAAACUCAAGGACAACAAGGUACUGCUGGUGAUGAUGAUUCUUUUAUUUUAUCCAGCUCUAGUAGUGAUGAUGAUGAUGGUGGUGGUGAUCAAGGUGGAGGAGGAACCACAGUUGAAGGAGGUGGUAGUCGUAGUUCACAAGAUCCACCUAGUCAAAGACAAAGUGGAAUUAGAAUUGCUUCUGAACCAUCUCCGAUGCGUACAUAUCAAAGAUCACGAGGCUCUCAUAGUUCUAGUACUGGUGGUGCUGAAACAUCCCAAACAAGAGGUAAGGAUGUUGCAUAUGAGGAGGAGGGGUCAAUUGAUUCAUUAAAUUAUGGAUACAACGCUGGCACGCAUAAUCCAAAUUUUAUGUAUGGUGGUGGACCUGGUGGUAGCUCAUCAUCUGAAGAUACUUCAUCAAAUUAUGGGUUCCAUGGCCAAUUUAGAGGGGUGCCAUAUCCAACAAAUUAUCCUCCUGCAUAUUCAUAUUACCCCUUAUCAGGAGCAGAGUCAGCUUUAUCAUACCCUCAGCCAACUUAUGGUGAUCCUAAUGAUAUUAUGGGUGGUGAUUCUUUAUUCAGUUUUGAUCCACAACAAUACUAUCAACAUCAGCAGCAUCACCUUAAUGAUCAAAGCUCAGAGAGCCAAAGUCAAGACCAACAAGAACCUGCACGACGUUCUUUUUGGUGGUAGUGAGGUUGGUAAUUUCCUAUAUGGCAUUUAAUUUAAGCUAAAUAGUAAUAUAUUUGAUAUAUUUAUGUUUAUUAUAUAUUUGUAUACAUUGUUCUGAAUUAAAUCUAUUGAUAUCAUAUCAUUUUAUGAACUUUGCAAAUUGAUUUGAAAAAUUUGCGUAGCGCCAGGCCGUUACCGUUACGUUACGGCUGUUACAGACCUGUUUCCGUUAUCCGCGACCGCGGCCGCGAACGCGGCCGCGAUCGCGAUUUAAAACCAUGGGAUGCACUUUGUUAUUCAGAAUAUUCCCUUCAUAACACUAUAAAGUGUCCAAUUGGGUGCAGUGCACCAAGCGUAGAAUUAGAAGAACUUAAAAAAUCACAAAAUAUACAGGUAGAAGAGGGACUUUUGGUACCCAUGUCUCCAAGGCUAGGCAGAUGCCAGAUCAUCUCAAGUUCUUCUGUUGAGAACUAGAGAAGAAUGUAGCUACCUUCAUUACUUGCUGUUGCUCCUUUCCUCUUUCACUUGGCUCACUUUUUGGUAAGGCAUAAGAGUAGGAAAUUUCUUUCAAAUUUCACAACAUAAAAAGAGAAAAUUCCACAUGAAAGUGCAGAUGAAGUAACAAGGACAAAGGGAAAAGCUGGAAAGAAUGUAUCCUUCAACCUUUGAAAUUUUCUUAGAGCAUAAUUGGUUGAUGUUUUUAAGAGCACUGCUUUUGAAAUAAGUACUUCAAGUGCAUUAUUUUUGAACUGGGAAAAUCUUAGUGACUUUUGGAAAACCAGCUUUAUAUUACACCAAGGAAAAGAAAUAAGUGAAAAUGUUAUUUUAAACACACUAAAAGUAAAGUUUUUAAUUCUCAAAAUAUGAAGAAACAGCAGUAAACAAGAGGUAAACAGUCUCUUAAUUUAUAGCUAUUGAUUGGUAAUUUCAGUUUCAAAAAGAUACCUGCAUCUAACUUCACUAAAUUUUAAGUUUUAAAACUGUAAAAAGCAUUUUGACCAACCAAUGGGAAGCUUCUGGCAAUAUUAUCAGCUAGAAUUUCAGGCUUCCUUUUCUACAACCAUUUAUGCACAAAAAAGACAUAUUGGCCAAUCCUGAGGGGAAGAGCAUUAGCUGAUUUUGAUCCGCCUUAUAUACAUGUUUUUCCUAUUGUAUUGUUCAAUCCACCAAAUGCAACAUGUAGAAACUCCUUUUAUCAACUCCAAGUUCCUUAUACCUGAUCCUUGGAUUAAUCCUGCUAAUUGAUUUAUCCAUCAUCACUGACCAUCCAAAUUAGAAUCCAAAAUUUUUCCACCAUUUACUAAGAGGUUAGAAUUUGCUUCAGAAGCAUUUCAACCUAACUUGUAUUUCCAUUACACUGCAGUUUCAACUUAACUUUCAACACCGCAGGUCUACUAAUGUCUGUUUGCAGUGCUGAGCCAAAGCAAGCGAAACAAAUUAAACAAGAGAAAGGUAGCUCUCACAGAUGGUCCUAAUGCAAUCAGUCUAUCCAAACUCACACUCACAACUACAAGACUAAUUGCCUUAUAAUAAAUUACAAACUAAGAGUUUAAAUAUUCAAAUGUUCAUAUUAUAAUGCCAACAAGUCCUGAUGCAUUCAGUAAAAUACUUUAACUAUUUCCACCAUUCAACUCUACAGGCCGCAGCUGAUAAAAAAGGUUAUUUUUCCCUUUAUAAUACUUUAUAGACAGAAAUAUAACAUUUAAGAAAAGAUAGAGCAGAGGAAAUCAGCCAUUGCUUACCCCAUUUCUCUCAUUUCGGGAUUUUUCAGGAGGUAGGUGAAAGAAAUCAGCAUCUGCACGCAUUGGCCAACCUAACCGAAAGCAAUCAACUGACCUGCAAAUCAUACGAUCAUAAAUUAAUCAGUAGAAUAAAUACAUCAAGCAGAGGAACACUGGAAGACAUAAGACUACUACCAGAAGUAUUCAUUUAAAUCAUCAUAGUUUCUCCAUUGAGAAUGCUUUGAUCUCCCCUUUUGACUCCUUUUAGCUUCCUGUCAAUAAUCAACGAACACAAUCAUAAUUAUAUUUUAGACUCAGAAAUAAGGAAAAAGACAAACUUUUAGACCAGAAAUGGAGAAAGAACAAGCCACAUGCAACACCUUUGCAAUCACAUCGUAGAUAGGGGUAACAACUUUUUUCAAGAAUGCCUCUUCUUCACCUCCAUAAGCAGGCUUGACAUUUUCCCCUGUCAUUGGACUGACAUUCCCAGCUAGCAUGCCAUAAAGUUCAAAUGCCAUCUACAAAAAGCAAAACAGACAAGCACCCAAUUACACUUAACAUAAUGCAGAAAUAUAAUAUUUUGUUAUCCUUCACAAUAGAGAUUACAACCUAUUUAUAGAUGAGAGACGGUAUCUAAACAGGAAGGAAAAUCAAGCCUAUGAUUAUACAAUCCUUGAGAUUAAGGAUUAAGUAACUAACCCAUCUAUAUUAAUAUAUUUAUUUCCUAUAUAACCUGUAACACUCCCCCUUAAGUUGGCUCAUAAAUAUUUAUCAUGUCCAACUUGUUAAAAAAAUAUUCUAUUCGAGACCCAUUUAAAGUUUUGGUGAAUAGAUCACCCAAUUGCUCUCCUGACUGGUGGAGAUUAAAUUUUCUUGAAUCUUCUCACGGAUGAAAUGACAGUCAACUUCAAUAUGCUUAGUCCGUCCAUAGUAUACUGGAUUGAAAGCAAUGUGAAGAACAGCUUAAUUAUCACACCAAAGUUUCGCGGGUGAUGCAACGCCCAUACCAACUUCUUUCAGUAGAUGAUUUAUCCACAAAAUCUUACAAGUCGAUUGAGCCAUGGCCCUAUAUUCUGACUCGGCACUCGAUCUAGAUACAACAUUUUGGUUCUUACUUUUCAAAGACACUAGGUUUCCUUACACCGUAGCCCGUAGUCGACCUUAUAUCACUUUUAGAUCCCGCCCAGUCAGCAUCAGAAAAACACUCAAGUGCAGUAUGCCCAUGAUCUCUGUAGAGUAUACCGAGUCCACGAGUCUCUUUUAGAUAACAUAGAAUUUAUUCUAGAGCAACUCAAUAUUUCACCAUAGGUGCAGACAUAAACUGGCUUACAACACUUACUGCAAAAGCAAUAUCUGGUCGAGUCAUCACCAUAAAAUAGUUCAGUUUUCCAACCAAUCUCCUGUACCUCUCUGGAUCAUCACAAGGGUCUCCAUCAUCUUUUGUAAUACAUAUAUUAGUAAUCAUUGGUGUGCUACAUGGUUUAGCUCCCAUCUUCCCAGUUUCUGCAAAUCAAGUAUAUACUUCCUUUGAGACAGGAAAAUUCCCUUUUUACUCCUGAAGACUUUGACUCCUAAGAAAUACUUAAGCUGACCCAAGUCUUUGGUAUAAAAACUCGCAUGCAAGUAGUUUUUGAGAGAAGAGAUCCCUGUACUAUCAUUCCCUAUCAUUCCCUGUAAUGACAAUAUCAUCAACAUAUACAACAAGGAGAAUAAUACCAGUAUCUGAAUUUCUAUAGAAAGCUGAAUGUUCACACUUGCUUUUUUUCAAUCCAAGUUUUUGAACAACUUCAAAAAACUUUCCAAACCAUGCACGGGGACUUUGCUUCAAACCAUACAAAGAUUUCUUCAAAUGGCAAACUUUCUCAUACUCCCCCUGAGCAACAAACUCUGGUGGUUGCUCCAUAUACACCUCCUCUUGGAGGUCACCAUGUAAAAAUCCGUUCUUGAUAUCUAAUUGGUGUAAAGGCCAAUGCUGAGAAGCAACUAGGGAGAUGAAUAAGCGGACUGAGGUCAUUUUUGCACAGAAGAAAAAGUGUCAGAAUAGUCAACACCAUAAGUUUGGGCAUAACCUUUGGCAACAAGACGGACCUUAAGCCUCGCUAUGGAGCCAUCUGGAUUGACUUUGAUGGCAAAACCUAUUUACAACCCACAGCCUUCUUGCCAGAGGGUAAACCAACUAGUUUCCAAGUAUGAUUUUCAUCUACACCCUUGAUUUCCUCAAACAUUGCAUCACGCCAUCCAGUUAAGGACGUAGAAGAAGAAGACAGGUGAUCAUAAGACAAAAAAUUAGCAACAGAAUAGAUAGAUUCACACUGUCGUUUACCUUUACGAAGACUAAUGGGGAGGUCAAGGUCAGUCGGUGGUGGAUCUGAUGGUGAAGAAGAUUCUGGUGCAAGACAUGUAUCAUCAGGUAUUGGUCUCCGAGAGUAAACUUGAACAACUGACGGGUUAACAGGAGGCUGAGUAUUAGGAGAAUGUUACCAUCUAAAUUGUGUAGCAGAAGGCAUACUCGAAGAGGUCCCACCAUCAUAUAUGAUUCUAUAGAUGAGCCACUCAUCAUCAUCAUCCUUUGUGCAACAGGAUAAAAAGGAACUUUCUCGGAAAAAACUACAUCUGUUGCGACCAAAUAUUUGUUGAGGUCUGGACAGUAACACCAAUACCCCUUCUGAAGGCAAGAAUAUCCCAAGAAAAUACACUUUAAAGCUUUAGGAUCAAGUUUAGUCACAUGAGGUCUAACAUCCCGAACAUAGCAAGUACUGCCAAACAGUCGUGGUUCGAGAGGAAAUAAUAGCUUCUUAGGAAAGAGGACAUUAUAAGGAGUAUUACCGUUUAGUACUGCAAAGGGCAUGCGAUUAAUGAGAAAGCAUGCAGUAGAGACAGCAUCAGCCUAAAAUUGUUUAGGAACUUGCAUUUGAAACAAUAGAGCUCUAGUAGUCUCAAGAAGAUGUGGAUUCUUCCUUUCAGCUAUCCCAUUUUAAGCGGGUGUAUCAACACAUGACGAUUGGUGAAGAAUAUCAUAUUGAGCCAUAAGCCUAGAAUGAUUCUGACAUAUAUUCUUUAGCAUUGUCGCUUUGCAAAAUUUUCAGAGAAACAUUAAAUUGAGUUUUGAUUUCAGCACAAAAGGCCGAAAAAUGAGAGAACACUUCUGAACAAUGCUUCAUAAAAUAAAUCCAAGUCAUUCUAGAGUAAUCAUCCGCAAAAGUGAUAAAAUAUCUUAAUCUAGUCUUAGAUCAAACCGGACAUGGGCCCCAAACAUCUGAAUAAACUCAUUCAAAAGCAGACUCACUUAAAGAGAUUCGAUGAUGUUUUGAAAAAUGACAUGACUCACAUCCCAGCAAAGAUACUUAUGAAAUUGAGGGCAUAACUUCUUCAAACCAGUAAAGAAGGGUGUCCCAACCGACAAUGUGCUUCAAACGGAGACACGACAUUGGAGCAGGCAGCAGGCUGAGACACCUAUGCAUCCAAAAUGUAGAGACUCCCAGAUACAUGUCCUUUACCAAUAAUCUGCUUCAUCACAAAAUCCUGAAUGAGACAAUGAUCAGGAAAAAAGGAAACACAACAAUUUAGGUCUUUGGUAAGUUUACUCUCAGAGAUUAAAUUAAAGGCAAGAUUAGGUAAACUUAGUACAGAUUAUAGGGUAAUAGAAGGAGUAGGUUUAACAGUCUCAGAACCCUCAACAUUAUGGGUUGACCCAUGAGCUAUAAUAAGAGGAGAAGGUGCUUUAUGAGAUCAAAAACUAGUAAAAAUAUGAGGAUUACCUGUCAUGUGAUCUGUGGCACCAGAAUCAAUGACCCACUUAUAUGAAGAGGAAAUAAGACACGUUUUACCUGUCUCAGCCGCUACUGAAGACGUUAGGAUAAUAAUAUGGGUCUUACUGUCAAAAACCAUUUCAACCAAAACUCUAUACUCCUUUAUCUUCAAACGAAUUAAAGGAAGAUAACCCAACACCCAAACGGCAAAUGAACCACAGAUUUGACAAGCGGGUUGUAAGGCAACUAAACGCUUCCACCCAACACCCAAACGGCAAACGAACCACAGAUCUGACAAGCGGGUUGCAAGGCAACUUCGGCGUAAAUAUUACCCUAGAUGGGUAACACAAAAGAACAGGAGCCCUAAGUCUCCAAAAAUUUUAAAACUUGACGAGAGAGAGGACUCUGACUCCGUUCGACUACCCGCUUCUUUCAUGUGUAUAUAAAAUAAUUCUAUAAUUUGGCAACUUUGUGCAGUUUUUAUUAUUAUCAACUUUUAUAAUACUCUUAUAUAUUAAAAAUAAUAAAAUAUAUAAAAUAUAAUAACUACGUAUCAAUAAAUUUAUAACUGGUAUUAUUUAAUUAUUAUUAUAAAAAAUUGUAUUAUAAAUAAUAUUAUCAAUUAAAAUAAUAUAAAUACAUUAUUAUAAUAUAUUAAUAAUUAAAAAAAAAUUAUAAAAAAGUGAGUAGUGCCAGGCCUAAAUUAAAGUGUCACAGCCGACAAGAAUGACGGAAAAUUAGAAGAAGCUAGAAAAGCUAGAAAAUUAGAAGCUAAACCUAUUCCUAUAUAUGUCUGACAAAGAAUGACGGAGACCCUUAUGAUGAUCCACAACGAGACACAAGAGGUUGGUUGAAAAGCUGAACUACCUUGUAGUGAUGACUCGUCCGGAGAUUGCUUUUGCAGUAUGCGUUAUAAGCCAAUUCAUGUCUGCUCCUACGGUGAAACAUUGGACCGCUCUAGAACAAAUUCUAUGUUAUCUAUAAAGGAUCCCAGGACUCGGUAUACUCUACACUGAUUAUACGUAUGCUACCUUGAAAAAAUAAGAAGCAAAAUGUGGUACCCAGAUCCAAUUGUGAGAUUCUAUGGAUAAAUCAUCGGUUGAAAAAAGUUAAUUUGGAUGUUAGGUCACCCACAAAACUUUAAUGUGAUAAUCAGGCUACUCUUCACAUUGCUUCCAACCCAUUAUACCACGAACGGAUUAAGCAUAUUGAAGUUGAUUGUCAUUUCAUCUAUGAAAAGAUUCAAGGAAAUUUAAUUUCCACCAGUUGCAGGAAAGCAAGUUACAGGAAAGCAACUGGGUGAUCUACUUACCAAAGCAUUAAAUGGGCUUCAAAUAGAAUAUCUUUUUAGCAAAUUGGGCAUGAUAAACAUCUAUGCUCUAUACUCCAAUUUGAGGGGCAAUGUUAGAGUGUGAAUAUAAUCUAGAGAUUACAUAAUCAUAGGCUAAUUAAUACUAAUUGAUGAUACUUGUUGAGAUUAUUUCUGUAAAUAGCCUAAAUUUGUACUGAUAAUUAGGGAUAUGAUAGUGUGAUAUGAUUGGGAUAUGAUUAGGGUAUAAUUAGGGAAUUAAUUUAUUUUCUUACCUAGUAUGUACUUAUAAGUAGUAUAUAUAUCCCAAUUGGCUUGAGGGGGAUAAUUAAGUAUUUUCUCUCAAAUCUUCUGCUCUCUUUUUCUUCUUUUCAUCAAAGGUUUCAUGGUAUCGAGCCAAGAAACUUGGUUUGCCACUCAAAGAUCUCCCACCUUACUUUGGUGACUUUCUGGAAAUCAGUUAGUCUCAUCACCCAGCUCAUUUUUCACGCCAGCAUCCGAUCUACUUCCUGGUGAAGCACUGCCUGCAAAUCCGGCCUCACGCGCCGCCCCAACCAACCCGUCUCCUGCCACGCGCCGAUGCGCGCACCCUUUUCCGACAAUCGUUUCACGCCGGUGAUUCUUCCUCCAGCCUCACCCGGCGCCGACGACUCCAGCCCAGCAGGUUCAAUCACCUGUUCAGCCCGCCUUCACACGCCCUCCAGCCACGCGCGGAUGCGUGUACCAUCUUCCGACGACCGUUUCACGCCGGCGACUCUUUCUCUAGCAUCGCCCGACGACGACGACUCUAACCCAGUAGGUUCAAUCGCUUACCUAGCCCGUCUAACGUCGGAUUUGCUGUUCACGAGCGCAAAUCCUUAUUUUUUGGCAGAUUCAGUCUCCAUGGCCCAAUCAAAUAUUGCGCAUUCUAGUAAUUCUUUUACUUAUCUAACCAAGUCUUUACCCAUUGGUUCAUGGAUCCUUGACUCUGGUGCUUCUGGUGCUUCUGAUCAUAUCUCUGGUAAUCCCUCUCUUUUCUCUACUCUUGUUUCACCUUCCACACCAUCUAGACUCACAUUAGCUAAUGAUUCACAAACUCAAGUUAAAGGGAUCGAUAACGUAUAUCUCCUUCCUUCUAUCCCUUUGACUAAUGUUUUAUUUACCUCUGACUGUCCAUACAACCUAAUCUCUGUUAGCAAAUUGACUAAAGAUUUUCACUGUUCAGUCAUCUUCACUACUGAAUCUGUGCUUGUGCAAGACCGGAAUACUGGAAAGAUGAUUGGAGCAUGAUAUGAAUCACAAGGAUUGCACUAUUUUUCCACUUCUAACUCUCUGCUUGCUUUUGUGUCUUCCACCCCCGCUGAACUCAUUUAUAGUCGUUGGGAACAUCCAAGUCUGAACAAGUUACAAAAACUGGUUCCUAGCCUCUCUUCCUUGCCAUCUUUAGAAUGUGAGUCUUGUCAACUCGGGAAGCAAACUCGAGAGUCUUUUCCCAAGCGAAUCAAUAAUAGGGCCAGUUCUAUGUUUGACAUUGUUCAUUCAGAUAUUUGGAGUCCAAGUCGGGUUAGUACAACUCCGAGAUUUCAAUAUUUUGUUACCUUUAUUGAUGAGUAUUCUCGUUGCACUUGGCUUUUUUUGAUGAAAAAUCAUUCUGAUUUGUUCCCUAUUUUUCAAAAGUUUUAUGCUGAAAUCCAUAAUCAAUUUGGUGUUUGCAUUAAGAUAUUGCGAAGUAAUAAUGCAAGAGAAUAUUUGUCUUCCUUGUUCACUCAUUUCACUCAUUUCUUGCAUUAAGAUAUUCCGCCCAGUUGUCUCUGCAUGUUUUCAGAUGUAUAUGCUUUGUUCAUGAUCAUACUCCUGGCAAAGACAAAUUCUAACCCAAAUCAGUUAAAUGUGUCUUUCUCGGCUAUUCACGGCUUCAAAAAAAUUACAAAUGCUAUAAUCCUACUAUUAACAUAUAUUUUGUGUCUGCAAGUGUCACCUUUUUUGAAACCUCUCAUUACUUUUCUUCUAGUCCAACACACAAAACUUUUGUCCCUAGCGCUUUCCUUGUACCUCCGACUCCUAUUUCUUCUUUGCCGCAAGUGUCCAUCUCCCACUUCUAUGCCAACUCUUCAAGUCUAUACACGUCGGUCUCACCCAUCUGCUAAUAACAAUGACAUUUCUCUCCCUAAUGCAGGUACUUCUAAUGACUUACCUCCUGUUCCGUCAUCACCUACUUCGGUCAUGAUUUCAACAACAGCAGCUACUCCUCCUCUUGCUCUUCGAAAAGGUAUUCGCUCUUCCCGAAAUCCUCAUCCCAUUUAUAAUUUUAUGAGUUACCAUCAUUUGACUCCUUCCUAUUAUAUUUUUGUCUCUGUUGUGCUGUUGUUUCCAUACCCAAGACAGUUAGAGAAGCUAAUAUCAUCCUAGUUGGUGUAAUGCCAUGGUUGAAGAAAUGAAUGCUCUGCAUAACAAUGGAACUUGGGAACACUGUUGGUUGUCGAUGGGUUUACACAGUUAAAGUGGGACCUGAUGGCAAAAUUGAUCGCCUUAAAGCUCCUUGUAGCUAAAGAUUACACAGAUUUUUAGGCUUGAUUACAGUGAUACUUUCUCUCCCGUAGCCAAAAUAGCUUCUGUUCGCCUCCUUAUCUCAUUGGCUGCAAUUAAUCACUGGACCCUGCAUCAACUGGAUAUUAAAAAUGCCUUUCUUCAUGGAGAGCUCGCUGAAGAAGUUUAUAUGGAGCAAUCUCCAGGGUUUGUUGCUCAGGAGGAGUCAGGCUUAGAAUGUCAUCUUCGGCGCUCUUUGUAUCGGCUAAAACAGUCUCCAAGAGCAUGGUUUGAACGAUUUAGCACUGUAGUUCAACAGUUGGAAAUGUCUCGAAAUAAUUCUGAUCAUUCUGUAUUUUUUCAAUAUAAUGGUGAUAGAUGCAUCUAUUUAGCGGUUUAUGUUGAUGAUAUUAUCAUUACAGGAAAUGAUCAUGAUGGAAUCUCUAAGCUUAAGCAACAUUUGUUCAGUCAUUUUCAAACUAAAGAUAUGGAAAAAUUGAAAUAUUUCUUAGGAAUUGAAGUGGCAUAGUCUAAAACAAGUAUUGCAAUUUCUCAACGGAAAUAUACUUUGUAUAUAUUAGAAGAAACAGGCAUGUUAGACUGUAAACAUGUGGACACUCCCAUGGAUCCAAAUGUUAAGCUUGUUCCUGAAUAGGGGGAGCCACUUAAAAAUCCUACUAGAUACAGAAAAUUAAUCGGCAAGCUCAAUUAUCUCACUAUCACACGACCAGAUGUUUCCUUUGCUGUAAGUGUGGUUGGUCAAUUUCUUCAAACUCUAUAAAGUAGUCACUGGGAUGCAAUCAUUUGCAUUCUUAGAUAUAUCAAAGGAGCUCCAAGACAGGGUAUACUCUAUGAGGACAAGGGUCACUCACAAAUUGUUGGCUAUUCUAAUUCAGAUUGGGCAGGUUCCCCUUUAGAUAGACAAUCUACUUCGGGAUAUUGUAUUAUGAUUGGAGGGAAUAUCCUAGAAAAGUAAAGAACAGAGUGUGGUUGCAAGAUCAAGUGCAGAAGCAGAAUAUUGAGCUAUGGCUUUAGCAACAUGCGAACUCAUCUGGUUGAAACAACUCCUUCAGGAAUUAAAAUAUAGCGAUACUGGCCAAAUGAAGUUGAUAUGUGAUAAUCAAGUUGCCCUCCAUAUUGCAUCAAAUCCAGUUUUUCAUGAGAGGACGAAGCAUAUAGAGGUGGAUUGCCAUUUUAUUAGGCAAAAGAUUGAGUCUGGAUGCAUUUCUACUAGUUUUGUCAACUCAAAUGAUCAGCUAGUUAAUGUUUUCACAAAAUCACUUCGAGGACCACGAAUCGAGUAUAUUUGUAACAAGCUAAGAGCAUAUGAUAUGCACGCUCUAGUUUGAGGGGGAGUGUUGAGAUUAUUUCUGUAAAUAGCCUAGAUUUGUACUGAUAAUUAGGGAUAUGAUAGUGUGAUAUGAUUGGGAUAUGAUUAGGGUAUAAUUAGGGAAUUAAUUUAUUUUCUUACCUAGUAUGUACUUAUAAGUAGUAUAUAUAUCCCAAUUGGCUUGAGGGGGAUAAUUAAGUAUUUUCUCUCAAAUCUUCUGCUCUCUUUUUCUUCUUUUCAUCAAAGGUUUCAAUACUAAUUGAUUGAUAAAGGAUUCUUAGGAGUUGCCUUAACAAUGUCUUGUAAUUUAUAUAUAAACACAUACUUUAAUAGAGGAGACACAAGAUUAUCUAAUUGCUCCUUGUCUUGUUACACAUAUCAUUCAGAACACAGAAUUCGAGAUUACCUCUUCUUGCUCAUUAUUCUCCCCCUUCUCCCUCCAAAGAGAUGAGUUCUCAGAAGGUAAUAUUCAUACUGACAAAGUAUUUCCAUAGAUGGAGAGUGAUAACACUCAUAUCCCUUCUAUGUUGAAAAAUACCCAACAAAUAUACAUUUAGAGCUUUGGGGUUGAACUUUUCCACCGUCCUAAUAUGGACAAAGCAAACACACCCAAAUACUUUUGGUAGAACAAUGUAUGAAUUCUUUCCUUAUAGAAACUCUAAAGGACUCAUAAAAUCAAAGGUCUUGGGAGCAUUCUACUGAUAAAAUAAGCAGAUGCAAGCCAUCUCCCCAGUAUGCAGAUGCAAGCCAUCUUCCCAGUAUGCUUUGCGUAGGUUCAUAGUGAACAUAAGAGAUUGAUCUACCUCCAAUAGAUGCCUGUUUUUACUUUCAGCAAUACCAUUUUGUGCACUAAUAUAACCAUUUUGUGGAUUAAUAUAAGGAAAAUUUGUCUAAUGUACUAUAUUAUUGGACUCCAAAUAAGCAAAAAACCUACUAUCCAUAUAUUUUCUUCCAUCGUCAAUUCUCGAAAUUUUCACCUUAGUAUCAAAUUGAAUACAGAUCAUCUUGUGAAAGAUUGAAAAUAAAAAAAAGACAUCACUUUUAGCUUUAAUCAAAUAUAUUCAUGUCAUUCGAAUGCAACAACCAAUAAAAAUGACAAACCAUUGAAACCAUCAAUUACCAGAUAAAGAAACAAUUUGAGUUGGUCUCCAAACAUCAAAAUGAAUAGUCACAAUAGGAAUUUAACUUUUAUAAUGACUCAAAGGAUAGGAGGUUCUAACGUGCUUAGCAUACUCACAAUAUCACAAAAUAAAGAACUAAAGUGAGUUAUAGCAAAUAAACUAGAAUAAGGUUUUUCUAAGACAAAAAAUGAUGGAUGCCUUAACUGCCCGUGCCAUUGUAUUAUUUCUUGACUGACAUUUUUAUUUUCUCCAAAACAGGCUUGAGAUAUCAGAGAACCUGGAUCACCUUUCAACAUGUAUAAGCCACUAUGCAGUUUACCAUUUCCAACCUCUCUUCCCUAUGAGAAGAUCCUGAAUAAUACAAUGAUCAGAAAAGAAUUUAAUUUUACGAGCAUUGGUGAUAACAGUUAAGAGCAUUGGUGAUAACACCGACAGAUAAAAAGUUGACAAGAAAACGAGAAAUAUAAAAGAUAAAUGAUAAUUUAAUAUUGGGUGCACAAAUAAUAGAAUUUGUUUCGGAUAUGGGAGUAAAAGAGCAAUCAGCAAUUCUGACACUGUUGCCUUUAAAACAACCAGUCAUGUAUAUAUUCGCAUCAGAAUCAAUAAUCCAUAGAAUAGUAUCAAGAGAGGAAGCAUCAUUUGAUUUUAGAAAGUUAGAUGUGGUACUAGAGGAGGAAGAGGUAUCAAUAUGAGACAAGAGGCCCUUGAGACUCAAUUUCAUCAGGGGAAAAGAACUCAGCAGCAUUGUCUCCUUAAAGGGCUCCUCCACAGUUUCUACUAAAUUAGCUUGAGUUCUAAAAGUAUCUCGUUUCCCUCACGGCCUCUAGUGGGACGACCAUGUAACUUCUAGCAAAUCUCCUUGGUAUGCCUUGGUUUUCCACAAUAGUCACAAUGCAAGUAAUCUUUCUCAGAAUUAAAAAGCUGUGGUGUGCUCAAACUAGUAGCCAACCCAGUCUUUUCAACUGGUGCAAUAUAGAGCAUAGCAUGUCGACGACUUUCCUCUUAUUGAACAUAGGCAUGAAUCUCUUCCAGUGAGGAAAAGGGUUUUUCUCUAACACUUGGACCCGAAUUGGAUUAUAUUCGUUAUUCAACCCUACAAGAAAAUCAUAGACCCACUCUUUUUUAAUCAUUUUCCGAAAUUUGAUUGCAUCUCCCGUACAAUCUGUCUGGAAGUUCUGAUAGUAAUCAAGCUCCUGCCGUAAGCCACAUAACUCAGAAUAAAAUUGGGAGAUAGUCAUUUCUCCUUACUUAGCACCAUGAAUCUUAUUACGAAUAUCAUAAAUUUGGACAUCAUUUCCAAUCUUGGAAUAAGCUAAGAACAAUGCCUCCCUUAUCUUUGCAUAAAGUUAAGUAACCAUAUCAUAACAAGAUAAUUAUCUGAAUCCCAUUGAGAAAAAUCUGGAUCACUCUCAUUUGGUUGCUUCUCAUUAUCAGUGACAUAGCCAUGCAGUCCUCUAGCCUUGAUAAACAACAAUCAAGACCUUGACCAAGCAAGAUAAUUGAUUCCGCCAAGUUGUAUGGGACUAAUUUGCAAGGAAGGGUUAUCAGAGUUAGGAACCGAUUACCUUCUACUAUGGCAAAAACAAAUGAACCGUGAAAGAAUAAGAGGUACCCAAGGUUGUACACACAAAAGAACCCAACUAAAUCACCAAACGACCAAGUAGCAGCAAGGGAUGGCCGGAAAUGGGUCGAAAACAGCGCCGGAGUGGACUGGACAACAUGGCAGCAUCGGGCAAUGUCUCGCGCCGGGAAAGAAGGGCGCGUGUGGCUUUUGAUGAAGAAAGGCCCCUAGAUAGGAUAGUACUAAAAAGGUAGAUCUAGGAUUUUUAAAACCUCAAAGAGGAAAAAUUGAAUUUAAACCCUAAAAUCAGGAAAAAGCUGAUACCAUAAAGAAUUUUAGAGUAUUCUUGUAUUUCAAUCUUGAUCUUUAAGUAAUUUAUAUAACUAUUUAUACACAAAAAAUUAUAACUAAACAGAAAGCAAAUAAUUAAAAAAUAAUUACAUAGAUAAUUAAGAAUCCUAAUUUAUGCCUAGAAUAAGUAAUCAAAUCAAAUCAUAUCACUAGAAUCAGUAAAUAAGUCAACAUAAUCAAUCAGCUUAUCAAGAAUUUAUCAACAUUAGAAGCUCAUCCAUACAAGGUUCAGAUGAUAAAAAGUGAAAAAGGCAUGGGUUAAAUACCAUAACUGUGUUCUUUAUAAUAGGCAAAGAAUGACAUGAAUGACAAAUGCAGUUUCCAAGAUGGGACAUUAUUGGAACAUACAUGAUGAUAAAUGUAGCACAGGCAUUCUGGCAUGAAUCUCAAGUUUGCAGCUUCCCCCCAUAUCAAAAGAUACAGACCCAUAUAGAGUAAUUUACGCUGUUGCACCUCCUGCUGUAUGGUUGGCAACCUGCAAAUUUAGAGUGAAUAUGGUAUCAAACUAUCAAUAUAAGCUAUAUAAUUGGACUCCACGACCACCCAACCCCUCCGCUGAAAAAAAUUGAGAGACGAUACUAAGAAACAGAAAGGAUAUGGAUAAUGGAUAAUGGAUAGGCCAAGUCAAUAACAAACAAAUUUUAUUUAUCUAGUAGUUUCUUUCCAGAUUUUCCAUUAUCUAUCUUAUCAUAUUUUCUGUUAUCUUACCCUAAAUCUAAUAAUUGCUUGUACUAGACUUCUACUUCGAUUUGAAGUAUCCAAACCACCGCUGUAAAAGGAGUAUAUUUUAUUCAAUAAAUCAGGUAGAUUUAUUCUAAGAAUUGUGAGAUUGAGACUCUCAUUUUUUAGUCUUGAGGUGUUAAGGGCUCCCUCUAAUGAGCUCUUUUCCUAUUAAUCACCCCAUGACGCGAUCCGAGACCAUAACAACUUGGCAUCGGAGCCUGUUAUCACGGGUGUUUCAACAAAUCUAGAAAAGUUGAACUCUUGAAUGACUUAGCUCAGCAAAUUUCUGAACCAAUUCAAACCUUCAAUAGGGGAUUGAACUAAAACCAAGAUGGAUCAAAUCGCGGCCAAUCAAAUUUUGGUCAACAUAAGAAGAUAGAAGUACUUGUGGUACCUAAAAUGACAAACUAGACUUUCCAUCGUGCGAUGGCACAAAUGGUACAUUAUCAUCCUACAUUUUGAGAUCUAUAAGAGUGGGGAUAGUAGAUCAUGUUUUAAAAGAAUUUGAUUUAGUUUCAAAUGAAGUUACCUUUGAUCCAGACACUCGGAUUUCCACUAUAGGAGAGUCUAUCAAUUGUUUAUGGAUAAUAGAUAGGUCAAAUCCAUAACAAAUAGAUGUUAUUUAUCUAGUAGUUUCUUUUUAGAUUUUCCAUUAUCUUUAUCUUAUCAUAUUUUCUGUUAUCUUAUCCUAGAUCUCACAAUUGCUUCUAUUAGACUUUAAUUUAAUUAAAAGGAUUAAAACCACCACUAUAAAAGGGAUUUAUUUUAUUCAAUAAAACAGGUAGAUUUAUUCUAAGAAUUGUGAGAUUGAGACUCUUUUUUUAGUCUUGAGUUGUUAAAAGCUCCCUUUAAUGAGUUCAUUUUCUAUCAAUCACCCCCAUGACGCCAUCCAUGACCCGGGACCAUAACAAUAUGAUACAAGAAUCCUGCAAUUUCUUUCUCUUUUUUUUGUCACUAACCUCACAUUUAUACUGAAUACUAACUUUAAGCUGCAUUUGGCCAUCUAGAAAAGUGCAAUACGGCAAAGCAAACAUAGAAAUGCGGGAAAAGAAAGAAGAAAGGCUUGGAACCUUGAACAUCCACUUUGUCAUUGGGAUGUUAGGUUAGCAUAUAAAAGGGACGCGAAAAAAUAUAUUAUUUCUGUAGAUAAGGAACCUGAAUAAUUCUUAAAUUCUACCUUCCAUCUGGAUAAACUUUUAACUAGACCUAGGCUAGUUGGAUGCCUAAUUUUUUCUCAUCUUUUCCAUUGCUCAGCUCCUUCUCCCUUUCCUCAUUUUAAAGGACAUUCAGCUCAUAUGCUCCCACAUCCUCCUAUUUUCUAUUUACUCCAUCAAAUAAUAGUCAAAUUUUGAAAAGAUUUUCUCAAUAGCUUAUGAAUCCCUUUCAUAAAUAAGUAAAAUAAUACUCUCUCCAUCCCACAAAGAUAAGCUUGCUUUCUUUUUCAUCUAUCCCAAAUUAUAGGCCAUUUUCCUUUAAGACGAAUUCAUUUCCUUUUCUAUGACAUUGUUCAAACAUACUUUCUUUGAUUGUUAAUUACCUUCCUAAUAUAUCCUUAUUCAAUGUGCAUUUUGAGAAGUAAAAUUCAAUAGUUCCAAGAAUAAUUUAGUAAUUCAGCAACAUGAGUGGAGGGUACUUUAGGAAAGUCAAUAUAAAAUUUAUUGCUUUAACUAUAUUACCUAUUUUUUAUUAAUCCAUGUGAAAAAUAAAUAGGCCUAUCUUUAUGGAACAAAGGGAGUAUAAUCCCAUGCCUAUAAAUUUACCAACUGGAAUAUGCAACAAAUUUCUAUCAUGUAAGAAUUAAGAAAAGGACCAUAUGCAAUUACGAAGCCACUUCCUACUUAUAGUUCAAAUUUAUAGAAGGAACCCUUACCAAAGACUACUUUUUCUAUCGAGGUACUUGCACCAUUUUUUGUAGUUCUUGAAAAGCUUCUUCAUCACUUCUGUCAAUGCACGCUCAUCCAACUAGGAAAAGAUAUGCAUAUGUCACAAGAACAUGAAAAAGUAGUGGUACUCUUGCAAAAAUUUAAUUAGUAUUGCUAACACGAUUUGCAUUAAAUUAAGAAACAGAGCAGCAAUUAGCUUCUUUUCAUGCCUUUUAUUAUAAAUUCCAGAAAAAAGACAGUAACAAAAAACUUUUUCUCGUUCAACCUUCAAAAAAAUUUUACCCUGUAUGCCUUUUUAAAAAAGACAGCAAUUAUCUAGAAAGAGGUGUACAAGUAAUAUGUAACAUGUACACCAGAAUAUCCCAAAUAGUUUUGGUUUAAGGCUUUUUUUUUGUUGUUGUUGUUGUUAUUUUGUCAUCAAAAACCAAAACAUUUGAAGAUCAAACAAAGUGUGAAUGCAAUUCAGCAGUAGACAUACAAACAACAAAAGGAAAAAAAAAUGUAUAAGCAAGGAAAUACAAACAAGAGUAGAAAAAAAUUUACAAGCAAUCCUCUACAGCUGUAAUUGCUCUUAAGUUGUAAACAAAGGGAAGCAUGCGCAAUGUCCUUAACAAUACACUUUUCCAGAUACUAUGCACUAUCCAUCAUGGUUUUAGGGGAUGGCAACUGGAAAAUGUUGUAACCACUAAAAAUAAUUGUCUCAAAGACAAACCUUGGGUUGCUGAUCAGGCUUUGGAAAUUGUCUAAUGUGCACAUUUGCAAGUAAUAAGAUUAAGUGCUCCCUCUGAUUAGCUACAUUAUCCUUCUGCAAAUGCAAUACACACGAUGUAAAUAAUCAAGAAAAAAUGAUAUGGACUUCUAGUCAUAUUCAAGAAACAUAUUUUAACACGUAUAAGAAAAAAGAAUGCACAAAGAAAUAAUUCUUCUUAAUAUGUUCACCUGAAACCCAAACAUUGCCUGAAGCCAAUCUAAAAUAUCUUCAUCUUUUUUCUUCUUGUAGUCCUUGGGCCAAGGAAGACCCCUCGUAUAGCGCAGAGCAAAAACGGCAGCUUGGAUCUACAAGAGACAAAUAGAUAAGACAAGCAUUCAAAAUGGUAGAAGAAAAACUAAAAUAAUUAAAUGCAUACAAUGGUAACAUACCUCGGGAUACCUCAUAAUUGCCUGAUUUGCACUAUCAGGAUCAAGAGGAAGGAUAUUGUAAGCAACAUAGAUCUCAGUCUUCUCAGCAACUUUAUCAUGAGCUUCUAAAAUCUUUACAAAUGUCCACAAACAACAAACCACACAAAUGCAAGCAAUGGUGAGCAAUCAGAUUUUUAAUUGGAUAAAUUUUGGAUUGGAGUAGGCAGAUAUCCACCUAUGAGACAAAAUAUUCAGAAUAACAGGUAAGGAGAUAAUCAAGUAGUGCAAAAGGUUCACCUCACGGUCCACUUCAACAGAUUGUGUCAGAUUAACAGCCUUCAAAACCUCAAAGAGAACAUUAGCAGUUUGAUAAGCCUUUGUAAGCUGAGCACUGAGUUUCAAGAGAAAACCAGCCGUCAAGGACAGUAACUAUCACCCCAAAUAAACUCCCUACUAAGAUAUGCUAAAAGAACAUCUCUCUCUUUCUCAUUAGAGCAAAGAACUUACCGGUCAGCUUUAUCAGCAGUAUUUUGCAAAGCUUGGAUAUAUUUUUUGUAGUAAUGCUGAUAAAAACUCUGCAUUUCCCUUGCAUCACUCUUUUUCACCCUUCCCAUCAAGGUUGGAUCAUUCUCCUGGAAAGAAUUAAAGAAAAUCCACCUAGUAACAAAUAGAACUAAGAGCACAAAUAUGAACUAAAAAGCUGAAGGCAUCACUGAAUUACAAUCCAGAUAAUGUUGUCAUCAAAAUCAUGUACUACAAGACAAAAUGGUCAUGGAUGUUGAGACAUGCAUUUCAAGAAGUGAACAUGCAAAAUCACGUCCUAUCUAUCAAAGAAAUAUAGAUAAAUAAACAAGUUAAUCAGGAAUGCAAAAGAGCACCUCAACAUGCAUAUCCAGUGGACCUCACCCAGAUCAAUAUUUCUACAUUUUCCUUUGCAUUGUUGUUCAUGGAUCUUCAGAACACACAUCAAAUAUAGGAUAGGAACGCUUUUCCCAGACAAAAGAUUUAAGAGUCACAUAUAUAUUAUGUAUUCUCAAACAUCACAUUUAAGGGCCUUCUGUUUCACACACUAUCACCUUCAGAUGCAAUAUUCCCACAGCUUGCAAACAUUAAACUGUUUAGAACUGAGGUCCAAAAUGGUUCCCCCAAGUUAUUUAAUAGUUUCUAAGCUAGCCAAUAUAUACCACUUAAAUUUUUCUUCACCCAUCAAUGUUGCUAAGCCACAAUCUAGGAUGGCUCCGGUACCAAUUGUAAUGGUACCGGUCCAAACUGACCUAAAUAACUUUUAGAUCCAUUUUCCACUUAGCGCAAAAUGAUUAAUCCAAGUUAUUUAAUAGUUUCUAAGCUGGCCAAUAUAUACCCCUUAAAAUCUUCUUCAGCCACUGAUGUGGGACUUUCAGAGUCAAUAUUGCAGAUGUAUUGUCCUGGGCUACCACAAUGGACCAAAACACAAAAUCUAAAACCUAAUCUUCAUUUAAUCAUUCAGAUGUAAUUUUAGAAAAAUAGACGACCAAAACUGCAGCUUAGCAAAGCAAAAUCUGCAAAUAUGCAAAGCUGUUUAUAACCAGUAAUAAUAUUCUAUUAGAAUUUGCACAACUCGCCAAAAGGAAAGUUGAUAUCUAACUCCAAACAGACCAUCUUGCUUUUAUUGAUAUGCCAAAUCAGCCAAUGCAAAUAUAAAAUAAGCAGAUACCACUUCUACAUCCACUGCAAACAUUCACAGUGACAAUGAAGGGAAAUUAUUGUUUCCUUAAGCCAAAUAUUACUAAAAAUAAGACUCAACACAAAAAUGGAACCCUAAAAAAGAAACCCUUAGGGCCUUUUACUUGUACAUAAAAAUAAAUAAAGAAAAGUUUUUCGAUUUUACAUUUUCUCAGCAAACUUCGAUUUUAACUUUCAAUGUAAAGCAAGGGAUAAUAUGGAAAAUGCAUUCACCUAUCAAUGGAAGAAAUCAGCUCUCCAAUUCAAAAAUUUUUAAACAAAAAAUUAUAUCUAUCAUAAUUAUAAAUAAGCUAUUACAAAAUAUAUUUAAAUUUUUAUUUUAUUUUAAAUUUGUGUUAUUCAUUUAUUCUAUAAUAUGAGGAUUAAUUUUUAUCAUUAUAAACAAAUACUUCUACAAAUAAUUUUUUGACUUUAGAUAUGAAAAAAGGACAAUAUCAUUUUGGUCACCAAAAAAUCAUUGUCUUUAAUUUGAGAAAUGAAACCAAGUUAAAGUCAUUCCAAACUGGAAAGUAGUUUUUUAGGGUACGUAAGGAAUCAUUUCUGUUUACAGUUUUUUAUUUCCUUUUUCCAAAAUAAAAAAUAUGAAACUCUCUUCGGAUGUAAUUUGGGUGUUUUAUGUUUUCUUUAUUUUCUUUUCACGUGUCUUCAAAACAUGGAAACAAGCACAUAAAACAAGAAUGGUUGUCUCGUUUUAGUUUUUUCUCUGUAGUACAGUUACAUAUUUUUAGCCCGCCCAUCCACUUGUUUAGGUAAUUUUUGUUAGUUUUUCUAAACUUAUAUACUCCCUCCGUCCCACAUAAUUAGGGCUGAGCAGAAUGCAGUUAAAACUGGAAAAGCAAACAGAACCAUUUUGCACAUACACACACACACACAUAGAAAAGGAACCCCACACCUACAUUGCAUUCUUUCGCUGCCCCUCCCCCUCCACCCAAACUGCUUCUCCUUCUCAUUCUCUACUCAUCUUCUACUCUUUCUCUCUAUUCUUCAUGUCUCUUCUUUUUUUUUUUUUUUGCUUUCUAUGACAAAACUCAUCAACACAUGAAGUGACUCAUAAAACUUGGUUGCCGUAGAUUGAAGCCAAUAAUGUCAACUGGUUUCUCAGUUUCUGUAAGAACAAGUUUUAUGAGAUGCAUGAGGCAUUUAUCUCCUGUUUUGCAUAUUUGUUACAUUUGUUAUGUUGCAAAUUUUCUAGGCUACUUUGUACAUUUGUACAUUGCAUAUUUGAUUAAUCGCAUUUCUAAGUGUAUAAUGAAUUGUUAAAAAAUAUUGUAGAUUGAUGCUUGUUUAGGUAUGUGAUUCACGGGGUUUCAUAUAUUGUUUUCUUUUGCAUCUAGCAAAUGUUCAUGGGUAUUGAUUUCUUGUUUUCAUUUGCAUAUGGGUAUUGGUGGCUGUAGCUGGGAUAGGAAGGAAAAGGGUGGUUGCUGGAAAUAGUUGGUUGCGAUACGGCACCAUUUGAGAUGGCUACUGGGAAUAGAAGUGGCUAGAACCUGUUGAAUCCACAUCGAUUGUGGAAAGGGGUAAUGUGCCCCUUAUAUGGGCCAUAGAGGCUCCCCCCUUGAGCUAGCUUUGAGCUAGCUUUUGGGGUGAGUUAAGCCUGACCCAAAUUUAACAUGGUAUCAGAGCCUCC